rnacentral:lncRNA from 1 species
GACACAAUUUCCAGUCCCACAAGUUCUGAAUCUUGUAGCGUGUAGCACUGUCAGGCCUGUUCUUGUCGGGGUGGGCAGUAGUGACGGUAUUUGCAAAGAGAUAAUAAAAAAGAACUGGGCAGACUUCCGUUAACUUUAAUUAUGAAAUUGAAAUAAGGCAUGCCACUUUAAUAUUGGAGGCUGGUCUGUUUGCCAAAGGCCCUUCUCUUUGUGUACUCACUGGAAAAACUCUCUUUCUAACAAAAAAAAAUACAAUAAAAUAAAAAUCCAAGAUAGACAUCAGACAUAUACGUAGGAAUACACACAAAUCAAACCCCAAAGUCGGUGUCCUUUGAACUCAGCAAAUAAUGCACAGACUGGAGAUGCCCGCCAGGUGGAAUGUUUUUUGUUAUAUUCUGUUGGCAUUAUAACUAGUAAUCUUAAUACUUAAUUAAUUGGCUUCCCUUUUCUGAAACUACCAGUGAUGAGAUCCCUGUGCAUCAUAGGAGGUGGACCCCUUCGUUCCCACUUCUCUCCCGGCAGCCUUUCUUGCACAGGCUGUGUCUCAGCUUUGUGAACUGAUCCAUAAAGCACCCUUGUGCUGCUAUUCUGCCUGUGCAAACAUUGUGUCUCUCUGCCUCAUUCAUUAUGGGUUAUGAGUCCACAUAUCAUAAUAUGAGCUGGGAGGUCUCAGCCCCCGUCCCACUCCACCCCCACCCCUGAAAUAUGCAGACUUCAGGAAUAGACAGCUCAACUCAUUAUUAAAUGAAGUAUCGAUACUUCCACUUCUAUUUCCGGGAAGCCUGACACCGGACAAGUGAUGUCACAGCAGAUGUCACUGUGAAAUCUUUUUUUCUUUCAAAGUGUCAAUUUUUUACACUGGUUUUUAAUCUUUAUAUUUUUUAAAAUAGAUGGAAGCAUGUGGCUUUGAGAUUUAGUGGGUUUUUUUCCCUAUCAUGACAAUAAAGUUCACUUUAUACCUCGUGACAGUCAAGUCGGCAGAAAAAGCUGUCCUUUAAGACAUCCCAGCAGAUAUAUCACAACAUUCUACAUCACUACUCCUUUCCCCUCUCUCUUUCUCUCUCUCUCUCUCUUUCUAGUUAGAUCAAGAUAACGGUGGCUUGUGUCAUCCCGAUUCUCUUACAGUAGGGACCGGGCUCAGAAUGUGACUUGCUUAGGCCGAUGUGGGCUUGGCAAGCACGUCUCGUUUGUAUAUGUUUUGCUGUGAAUGAAGUUCCUUUAAGGACAAAGGGAAGUGCACUGUGCUUCAUUUGAGCAUAUCUGCCUUGGCUUAGCAUCUGCUUAUUCUAAGACACGCUCCUUCACCCGUCCCAGAGACUCACGUUGGACAUGAAAUACUUUUAUCACGUUCCUGUGAGUAAAGCAACCCGGGAUUUUCCUGAGUUCCCAAUUAAACCUGUACAGGUUUUCACAUUUUAAAUCCAAUUUAAGCAAAGAGGGAAAGGACACAGGGGAAAGAAGCCCCUUUAAAACUCAUUCAGAGAAUAAACCAUGUUUGCUUUUUCAUAUAAACCUGGUAUUUGUUGAUUUUGUUUGGGUGUGGGAGUGGGUGCGCAGAGCUCACCUUUUAUCAUCGAGUGAUUUAUUUCCUUUGACGGGAUUCAGGUGAAGGAAGCCCAUCUGUGCCGGAGAGCUCUAUAUGCCUUGAACUAGCCUAGCCUCUGUCCCAGUUGUGAUGACAGCGAUAACGCUGGAUUACUGGUUUAGCUACAGUUGUCUGCCUCUGAGUCCUCAUGCUGCAUAUUCCUGCUUUCCAGUCUGUUCCUACUGAGUGUGAUGUCACAUCUCUGCUCUCAAAUGCAUGCUUCCUAAUCUGCUUCAGGUUAUGCCUCGAGUUUGGUCUAUUUCAGAAUGUGGACAACAAAAAUGUUCAUUCUGGUUUUAACUCAGUACAAAUAGAGGUUGUCAUUGAUUUCUCUUUCCCUCUUUUCCUUAUUUGUAAAAAGUCUUUUUGCAUAUGAAUGUAAUCACACCAACGUCACCAAUGCUGUGAACUUGCACUGCCUAGGGAGCGGAAAAAAGCCCUACUGUGUUUAAAAAGAACAUCCGCUGUUAACCCAGCCCUGGAGCGGACACACUUGCUGCAUGUUCUCUUACUUCCUCAGUUUUAGGUGUUGUGUUGGGUUAUCGUUCUAGACUGGACUGUUAAAUGCCGUCUGUGAGGCUGGACUGUCACUUUUAUAACUGUCUUCGUAUUUUAUCACCAUUAUUUAUUACUUUUGAUAUACAGAAUGAGCCGCAUGCAUUUAUAGAGCCAUAAGAAGAUGUAUUUAAUGUGCCUUGUUUUUAACUGAGUAAGAGCUGAAAGCAUGAAUCAAUAAAACUGAUUAAAGCGC